UUCUACGCUGCUGCAUCUCAUUUUCGCACUCAAUGUAUGAAACUACUUGCGCUGCGAGUUGGCAAUAACUGUCAAUUGUUUACUGAGUCUCUUCUGCUGAUGCCUGAAAUGGAAUCGGCGACUGUUGUUUACAGGGAGAUAUGCAGGAAUAGUACUUGAAGAUUGAUUGCGAAUAUCCAUUGAUUCAUCAAAUAGAAACUAGUUGUUUUUCUUGAAGAGCAAGUUCACGGUCAUACUGUUAAAAAAAUGAUUCUAAACUGAUAGAACACGAUGAUCUUGCUAUUCAAAACUAAGGACCAU